rnacentral:rRNA from 1 species
AGAGUUUGAUCAUGGCUCAGGAUGAACGCUGGCGGCGUGCCUAACACAUGCAAGUCGAACGAAGCUUGAGGAAUGAUUUCUUUGGAAUGAAUUCUGAUAUGACUUAGUGGCGGACGGGUGAGUAACACGUGAGCAACCUGCCUUUCAGAGGGGGAUAACGGCUGGAAACGGUCGCUAAUACCGCAUGAUAUGUUUGGAUGGCAUCAUUUGAACAUCAAAGAUUUAUCGCUGAAAGAUGGGCUCGCGUCUGAUUAGAUAGUUGGUGAGGUAACGGCUCACCAAGUCGACGAUCAGUAGCCGGACUGAGAGGUUGAACGGCCACAUUGGGGCUGAGAUACGGCCCAGACUCCUACGGGAGGCAGCAGUGGGGAAUAUUGCACAAUGGGGGAAACCCUGAUGCAGCAACGCCGCGUGAAGGAAGACGGUUUUCGGAUUGUAAACUUCUUUUCUUUGUGAAGAAACAAAUGACGGUAGCAAAGGAAUAAGCAUCGGCUAACUACGUGCCAGCAGCCGCGGUAAUACGUAGGAUGCAAGCGUUAUCCGGAUUUACUGGGUGUAAAGGGAGCGCAGGCGGGACUUCAAGUUGGAUGUGAAAGGUCAAGGCUUAACCUUGGCACUGCAUCCAAAACUGUAGUUCUUGAGUGGAGUAGAGGUAAGCGGAAUUCCGAGUGUAGCGGUGAAAUGCGUAGAUAUUCGGAGGAACACCAGUGGCGAAGGCGGCUUACUGGGCUCUAACUGACGCUGAGGCUCGAAAGUGUGGGGAGCAAACAGGAUUAGAUACCCUGGUAGUCCACACUGUAAACGAUGAUAGCUAGGUGUGGGGGGUCUGACCCCUUCCGUGCCGGAGUUAACGCAAUAAGCUAUCCACCUGGGGA